rnacentral:rRNA from 1 species
AGUGAACGCUGGCGGUAGGCCUAACACAUGCAAGUCGAACGGCAACACAGUAAGAGCUUGCUCUUACGGGUGGCGAGUGGCGGACGGGUGGGGAAUACAUCGGAAUCUACUUUUUCGUGGGGGAUAACGUAGGGAAACUUACGCUAAUACCGCAUACGACCUACGGGUGAAAGCAGGGGAUCUUCGGACCUUGCGCGAUUGAAUGAGCCGAUGUCGGAUUAGCUAGUUGGCGGGGUAAAGGCCCACCAAGGCGACGAUCCGUAGCUGGUCUGAGAGGAUGAUCAGCCACACUGGAACUGAGACACGGUCCAGACUCCUACGGGAGGCAGCAGUGGGGAAUAUUGGACAAUGGGCGCAAGCCUGAUCCAGCCAUACCGCGUGGGUGAAGAAGGCCUUCGGGUUGUAAAGCCCUUUUGUUGGGAAAGAAAAGCAGCAGGUUAAUACCCCGCUGUUCUGACGGUACCCAAAGAAUAAGCACCGGCUAACUUCGUG